rnacentral:rRNA from 1 species
GACGAACGCUGGCGGCGUGCUUAACACAUGCAAGUCGAACGGAAAGGCCCUGCUUUUGUGGGGUGCUCGAGUGGCGAACGGGUGAGUAACACGUGAGUAACCUGCCCUUGACUUUGGGAUAACUUCAGGAAACUGGGGCUAAUACCGGAUAGGAGCUCCUGCUGCAUGGUGGGGGUUGGAAAGUUUCGGCGGUUGGGGAUGGACUCGCGGCUUAUCAGCUUGUUGGUGGGGUAGUGGCUUACCAAGGCUUUGACGGGUAGCCGGCCUGAGAGGGUGACCGGCCACAUUGGGACUGAGAUACGGCCUAGACUCCUACGGGAGGCAGCAGUGGGGAAUAUUGCACAAUGGGCGGAAGCCUGAUGCAGCAACGCCGCGUGCGGGAUGACGGCCUUCGGGUUGUAAACCGCUUUCGCCUGUGACGAAGCGUGAGUGACGGUAAUGGGUAAAGAAGCACCGGCUAACUAUGUG